rnacentral:rRNA from 1 species
GAUGAACGCUGGCGGCGUGCUUAACACAUGCAAGUCGAACGAAGCACUUUAUCUGAUUUCCUUCGGGACUGAUUAUUUUGUGACUGAGUGCCGGACGGGUGAGUAACGCGUGGGGAACCUGCCUUGUACAGGGGGAUAACAGUUGGAAACGGCUGCUAAUACCGCAUAAGCGCACAGCAUCGCAUGAUGCAGUGUGAAAAACUCCGGUGGUAUAAGAUGGACCCGAGUUGGAUUAGCUAGUGGGUGAGGUAACGGCCCACAAAGGCGACGAUCCAUAGCCGACCUGAGAGGGUGACCGGCCACAUUGGGACUGAGACACGGCCCAAACUCCUGCGGGAGGCAGCAGUGGGGAAUAUUGCACAAUGGGCGAAAGCCUGAUGCAGCGACGCUGCGUGAGCGAAGAAGUAUUUCGGUAUGUAAAGCUAUAUCAGCAGGGAAGAUAAUGACGGUACCUGAAGAAGAAGCACCGGCUAAAUACGUG